CCUGGAGUCGAGUAAACAGAUCAGCAUCUAAGGUGGGGUGGGGUUGUUGGCAAUCUUGGGCAGAAGAUGUCCAAGCGCACGUUUCGAUUGCCAAGGUCACUCUCAAUCCUGCUGUGGUGUCUAGGGAAUACCAGUGCAGCGGCAGAGGAGCAUAUUUAUGUCCCAUAUACACGUGUAACCAAGAGAUGCAACUGUAGCAGAUAGUGAUGCUGAUAAUGUCUUAAGCAUUAGUUGUGUUUGAAUUUCGUAAUUUAGUUGUUACUUGAAUUGUAUUUUAGUUGUUGAAUUUUAUUGUUAUUUGAAUUUGAGUUGCGGUUGGAUUAGGAUAGGGACUAUACGAUGAUAGGACUCUUGUAGAUAGGAUUAGAUGAUUAAGUUAUGGCGAAAAACACAUUUUCGUCCCUACAUUUUCACGCGA